CACGUAGGCGGCUUGGCAAGUCGGAUGUGAAAUCCCUCGGCUCAACCAAGGAAGUGCAUCCGAAACUGCCGAGCUUGAGUACUUAAGAGGAUCGCGGAAUUCCCGGUGUAGAGGUGAAAUUCGUAGAUAUCGGGAGGAACACCAGCGGCGAAGGCGGCGAUCUGGGAAGAUACUGACGCUGAGAGGCGAAAGCGUGGGAGCAAACA
rnacentral:rRNA from 1 species